rnacentral:siRNA from 1 species
GCGUCUGUAGUCCAACGG